GUGCACCAGGCGCGAAUCUUUCGCAAUGGGGGAAACCCUGACGAAGCGACGCCGCGUGCAGGAUGAAGGCCUUCGGGUUGUAAACUGCUGUCGGCUGGGAAAAAUACGAUGCGUGAAUAACGCAGCGUUUUGAUGGUACCAGCAAAGGAAGCCACGGCUAACUCUGUGCCAGCAGCCGCGGUAAUACAGAGGUGGCAAGCGUUGUUCGGAUUUACUGGGCGUAAAGGGUUCGUAGGCGGUUCGGAAAGUCAAAUGUGAAAUCCCACAGCUCAACUGUGGAACUGCAUUUGAAACUCCCGGGCUAGAGUAUGAGAGGGGUAAAAGGAAUUCCCGGUGUAAGGGUGAAAUCUGCAGAGAUCGGGAGGAACACCAGUCGCGAAGGCGUUUUACUGGCUCAUUACUGACGCUCAGGAACGAAAGCUAGGGUAGCAAACGGGAUUAGAUA
rnacentral:rRNA from 1 species